rnacentral:rRNA from 1 species
GUCUACGGCCAUGCCACCCUGAACACGCCCGAUCCCAUCUGAUCUCGGAAGCUAAGCAGGUUCGGGCCUGGUUAGUACUUGGAUGGGAGACCACCUAGGAAGACCAGGUGCUUUAGGAG